AGGACGUUUUGCCAAAUCGAAGGUUAGAAGAAAUAAAAAAAAAAGAAAAUAGAUAGCAGAAGAAGAAGAAGAAGAAGAAAUAGAAGAAGAAGAAGAAAUUGUAGCGCGAAACACACUAACUCACAAAUAGUAACGUCAUACACACGCAAAAACAUACACAAGUAGAAACAAUAAAGUUCAUACUGCGCGUAGGUAGAAAAAAAAAGAUCCUUUAUAGAAAGAAACUCGAGUACAUAUUGGUGUAGAAGAGAAAGAUAAGGAGAAAGAAGAUAAAAGAAAGAAGUAGAGCCUUAGAGCGUGCGGAAUAAUUUUAAUUUAGUGGAAAAACAAAAACAAAGUAAAGCUGAAACUAGUAAUAACAAAAAGAAACAAAGUAAAAGCGUGUAUAGAAUUGAUCGAUAGAGAGAAAAAUUUCCAUACGGCAAGGAGAAGAGAAAAUCGAAUAUCAAGCGACGUCGGCGAUAGAUGAAAAAAUACCGAGCAAGAAUUGCUUGAAAAUAAAAAAAAAAAGAAAAGGAAAAACGAAACAAAAAAAAAAAAAAAACAAUCCUCAAUUUACGCGACCAUUGAAAAGUAUGAAAAUUUUCCAUAAUCUAUUAAUACGAUAUUAAAAAGCGAUACAAAGAGGAAGAAUAGAAAACCGUACGUAAUCGUCACAAAUCUAAAAUUUUGUUAAAAAAAUUGUUAAACCCUGAUGAAACAGCGUUGUGAAAAAUUUAAAUUCCCACCGAAGCUAAUCAAUUUCACAAACCGUUCACCAAAAAUCGUCCGACCGUUUGAAUAAUUUUUUGAAAAAACGUCGCAAAGUGCUUAUAGUUUUAAACAUUUAUUCUUCAACUUGCAACAAGAAAUAAGGAAGAGAGACAAGUGAGAGAGAGAGAGAGAGAGAGAGAGAGUGAGAGAGAGUGGGAAAUAAAACAUCAAAGAUUCGUUGAAAAAAAUUCGAAAGAAUUAGUAAAUCCGCAGAGCGUCAAGAGAGGGGGGAAAAAAAAAAAAAAAAACAAACUAAUCGGGGAAAAACGAAACGCCAAAUCAUUCGAAUGGAGUUACACCUGAUUCUGGACGGUGGCGUUGGUACACUUAACGACGAGAUGUGGCUCGAAAAUUCAUCAUCGCCACCGUACGACGAAGAUCAUGAUCUACAAUCACCGAAUCACGAAAGUAUAGCCGGAACGAUCACCGUACAGCAGACGGGACUUCAACGAUCUAAUGGUUACAACAGUCCGGCUAUGAUAAAUUGGGAGGAUAAAACCGAAUCGCCAAAUUAUUCACCAGUUCCAUCCGAACAAACAGUAUCAGCAGCAGUGACAGCAGCCGGGGUCGCAACAUCGUCGUCGUCGUCGUCGUCGUCGUCAUCGUCAGCAUCGUCAUCGUCACCGACGGCGGAUCCAACCGCCGGAUCCGGAUUGAUAAUAAUUCGUUCGAGCAGUUCGUCGCCCCGUGAAUUUCAUCAACAAUCUGGACCGUUGCAACAACAACAGCGGCACGUGAAUAAUGACAACAACGUAUCCUCCCACCCAAACAGCAACAACAACAACAACAAUCGUAAUCAUCAUCAUCAUCAUCAUCAGAGACAACAGAUCGUACUGCAGGAAAAUUCAUUGAAACGUCGUUCGGUCGAUAACAUUCAACAAAUCGGUGAACAUAUCGAACAUAAAUUGGUAAAAAAAGACACCUCGCUGAGCAACGACUCGAGACAGGGAUGGUCGACGCAGGUCGAAGAUCUCGCCGAGCAUCUAGCCGCCGAUUUCGAUGGUUCGCUGUCGGUUUUAGCGGCAUCGGAUUUGGCCACCGCGGUAGCAUCGUACAACAUGGGCGAGGCGCUGCUGGGCUUGCCGUCAUUGACAGUUUUCAAACAGGAAGCACCGUCGCCCGAAAAUCAUCACAACAAUCCAAGUUUGAAUCAUGUGUCGCAACGCGGUAUCAACAUUCAAACCGGAAACGGACCAUCCGUCGUCGGAGUCAUGGAGGCUGACAGUAACAACAACAACAACAACGGUCACAACGGUACGGGACAAACGGCCAACAGUCUUCACCAGCUCUUGUACUCGAACGACAACGAAUACUCGGCGACAUCCGGUGUCGGUAAUCAGGUGUCAUCGUCGCAGCAGGGAAUCGAGUGCAACGAAGAUUGCAGAUUCCAGUACGUAUUGGCGGCUGCAACCAGUAUAGCGACAAAAAUAAACGAGGAAACUUUGACCUAUCUGAAUCAGGGUCAAUCGUACGAGAUCAAGCUGAAGAAACUGGGUGAUUUGUCCGGUUAUCGUGGAAAAAUUUUAAAGGGAUACCCGACAUUUUUGUUCCAGUCCUCGAUAAGGAUAUGCUUUCACGAGCGCCGCCUCCAGUACACCGAACGCGAACAAAUGCUCGCCUGGCAGAGAACGAGGCCCGGCGAACGUCUCCUCGAAGUCGACGUACCCCUGAGCUACGGCAUAGUCGACAUCCGUCAGCCCUCGCCCUCCAGCAACGUCGUGGAAUUCAUGUGGGACCCAACCAAGGAGGUCGGGGUUUACAUCAAGGUCAACUGCAUAAGCACGGAAUUCACCCCUAAGAAACACGGGGGUGAGAAAGGCGUCCCCUUCCGCAUCCAGGUGGAGACGCGCGUAGCGGGAGGAACGAGGCUUCACGCAGCCUCCUGCCAGGUCAAAGUAUUCAAGCUGAAGGGAGCCGACCGUAAGCAUAAACAGGAUCGCGACAAGGUGUUCAGGAGGCCUCCCCACGAACAGGACAAGUACCAGCCCAGCUACGACUGCACCGUACUUUCGGACAUUCCACUCGAUUGUUUGACCUCGCCGAGUCCAGAUCCACAAAACGACGGCAGUCCCUUUGCUCCGAGCGAUGCAGCAACGCCGCAGAGUCGAGCAGCAAUGGGAGGCAGUUCGUCACCGGUCGCAGGUCCGAUACCGAUGUCGGUAAAUUCGUCAGGAGUGUUACCACUGGUAUCCGGAAACCCGGAAACGGCAAAAGAAUCUACAAGCCCAGCAUCGUCCGUAUCGUCACCGGCCACCAUUUUACCCGAACAAUCUUGCGUCGAAAUGAACACAACGACGUCGCCAACGUCCUUAUCGCCGGAGGCAAACGCGUCACAGACGAGCAGCUGGUUGAGAGCCGGUCGUUUCCACUCGUUCGAAUCAACGUUCGCUAGUUUCUCAGCAUCGGACAUACUGAGAUUAUCGCGCGACGAUUUGAUCCAGAUAUGCGGCCUGGCCGACGGUAUCCGGCUGUUCAACGCCCUGCACUCGAAGCCACCCUCGCCGAGAUUGACCCUCUACCUUUCGGCGGAAGGUAGUGGCGCCCUCUGGAGGGCCGUUUACCUCGACACCCUGACCAGCAGCGCCCUAGCCGUCAAAGUUCACACCGCCCUCGGAGCCCACGGACCCCCCCAAGACAGACUGCACUCGGUGGUCAUACUCGGACCCCAGGGAAUCCACGUUCUCGUGACCGACGAUCUCGUCGCCAACAUGAAGGACGAGAGCAUGUACGUCGUAGAGACCGUAAAAGACGCGAACAGCGAUCGUUACAAAAUACUUCUGAAACCAUCGUCGCGUUGAGAAUAAUAUCCAUAGUUGUUUCACCCCCUUAAUAACGAUAGAGAUCUGCUGCGUAUACCUGAAUCUUCCGAACAUCCAAAUCGACCAAGAUUAUAAACGAGAAAUCAGAUGACGAGAUGAACAGCUAAAGAAGAACACAACGGCGAUUUCAGUAUUACAACGCUCGAAGGGAAGAAUAAUAAUUGGACGGCAGCUGGUCUUCUGUGACGGUAUGAUAAAAAUGUGAUAAAGCGAGCUUAUAUUGCAUGCCCUUAUGCAUGUAUAAAAAUAUCGGCAAGGAAUUACGAUUUAUAUGUUAUAUAAUAAAUCAAGUUCUAAAUAUGAUGUAUGAAAAGUUAAAGAUAUUCAAGUAGCGCCUAUAAUUGUUGAAAAUUAUUAUAAUGUAUUGAUCUAUAUCGAAAAACGAAGAAAGAAAAAAAAAUAAUUUCAUUACAAUAUAUUUGAAUUUACCUUAUUGCAUUAUUAUAUUAUUGGCAUUCGAGUUGUAGUUUAAAAUGCGGAAAACGAAAAUCGCGGUUAUAUUGUGCAAGUUAAAAUUUAUCAAGGCGAAGCAUCCGGUGUUGCUUUAAAUAAAAAAAGAAUACCCGAUAUUUAUGUUCACAUAACUUUACUAGAGUAUAUAAUAUACAUAUAUAUGCUUUUAUAAUUUAUUAUCAUUAUUAUUAUUAUUAUUAUUAUUAUUAUCUAUUCUUGGCUUCCACGUGCACAUACAUACAUAUAUAUAUAUAUAUUAUAUAGGUAUAUACGCAAAAUAGAUAUGAUUCUACACCGUUAUUAACAAAUCGCACACAAACACAUCAUACGCCAACUUGUUACUACUUUUUACAUAUUUAUCGAACUAUAAAUAGGUAUGUAUGUAUGUAUAGUACAUACUUAUACAUGGUUGCUUGACUGACCGGUUUUUCAUUUUUCAUUAAACAAUUUUGAAAUUAUAAAGAUGUAGGAAGAAAAAAAAUUAAAAAAAAAAAUAAAACAACCAAAAAUAGUCUUUAUAUUAUUAAAAUUGGAUAAUAUAAAUAAAGGGACACGAUGCGUGUUGUAACAUGUCGCCAAUUAUACUCGCAUCCUACAAUAUCAUGUCAACGUUAAUAAUGAGAAAAUCAAAAUAGUAGUAAGACAAAAAAAAACAAAAAAACAAAAAAAUAAGUUCCCCGCUGUAGUGCCGAUAAUUUAAACAUAAAUUACAAACCCGGGAAAGGAAUAUUUGCAUGCGUAUUUUACCUGUAUGCAUAAGUAUUGUGAGUAUAUAAUUGUCGAUAUGUGUAUUGCGUGAUGUCGAUUUUAUCAAAGCUCGCGCGAUUUCAAAUAUUUAUAUGUUUACUUUUGAGUUUAGAAACUUGAUAGAUUAAAACCGAAUAAUUACCAACAGUAAUAAUAAUCAUUGACUCCUAAAAAUUUCUUCUCUUUUUUUUCUUUCUUACUAGAUAAAGAGAGAAUAUUAUAGCCAUUUAUUAUGAUAAUCCGGUGCCUUAUAUAAUGAUUAUUUAUACAUAUUGUACACAUAUGUAAUACACGAAAUACACCCAACGAUACGUAAUAUUAGAAGAUAAAAAAAAUU